rnacentral:misc_RNA from 1 species
AAGUCGUAACAAGGUUUCCGUAGGUGAACCUGCGGAAGGAUCAUUAACACAAAUGUUUCCAAACCUUAACAAUGGUGCAUUUAAAACCCUCUUUUGAAAAGUGUCGAUUGUGCAAUGGUUGAUUAAUUUAUUUAAUGGCCAAUCGAUUUAAGCUAAUGGCAACAUUAGCGGCUUAUUCGAAAGAGAGUAGUAAUCAGUCUCAACCAUGGCUGAGCCCCUUUAUUUUUUUAACCAAUCGAUUUUUUUAAUCAAUUCUUUCUUUCUUUAAAUUUUAUUUAAAGUGAGAAUACACUUUCAAUUAGAAGUCAAAUUCUAAUUUAAAUGUGAAAACACAACUCUUAACAGCGGAUAUCUCGGUUCUC